UCCUUACGGGAGGUAUACUAUUGAAACUCUUGCACUUCAAUGUCUUCUGUCUGAACUUGUUUACAGCAAACAUUAAAACUUUCAACAACGGAUCUCUUGGUUCUCGCAUCGAUGAAGAACGCAGCGAAAUGCGAUAAGUAGUGUGAAUUGCAGAAUUCAGUGAAUCAUCGAAUCUUUGAACGCACAUUGCGCCUCCUGGUAUUCCGGGAGGCAUGCCUGUUCGAGCGUCAUUAAAACCCACUCAAGCUCUUUUGCUUGGUCUUGGAGGUGGAGCACCGCAACGUCCUCCCCUCGGAAAUGCAAUGGCGGAGUCACUCGCGUUCCCCAGCGUAGUAAGUUUAUCUUUUCGCUUGGUGCCGGGUGCGUUCCAGCCCUCAACCCCCAAUCAUUUAGUGUUGACCUCGGAUCAGGUAGGGAUACCCGCUGAACUUAAGCAUAUCAAUAAGCGGAGGAAAAGAAACCAACAGGGAUUGCCUCAGUAACUGCGAGUGAAGCGGCAAAAGCUCAAAUUUGAAAUCUGGCGUCUUUGGCGUCCGAGUUGUAAUUUGGAGAGGCAUCUUCGGAGAUGGCGCUGUCCUAAGUUCCUUGGAACAGGACAUCACAGAGGGUGAGAAUCCCGUGCCUGGAUGGCUGUCCAUCUCCAUGUGAAGAGUCUUCGACGAGUCGAGUUGUUUGGGAAUGCAGCUCAAAAUGGGUGGUAAAUUUCAUCUAAAGCUAAAUAUUGGCGAGAGACCGAUAGCGCACAAGUAGAGUGAUCGAAAGAUGAAAAGCACUUUGAAAAGAGAGUUAAAAAGUACGUGAAAUUGUUGAAAGGGAAGCGCUUGAGACCAGACUCAAUCUUUGGUGAUCAGCUGUGCUUCUGCGCAGUGCACUUGCUAUUGAUUGGGCCAGCAUCGGUUCC
rnacentral:rRNA from 1 species